rnacentral:rRNA from 1 species
CAGCAGCCGCGGGAAUACAGAGGGUGCGAGCGUUAAUCGGAUUUACUGGGCGUAAAGCGUGCGUAGGCGGCUUCUUAAGUCGGAUGUGAAAUCCCUGAGCUUAACUUAGGAAUUGCAUUCGAUACUGGGAAGCUAGAGUAUGGGAGAGGAUGGUAGAAUUCCAGGUGUAGCGGUGAAAUGCGUAGAGAUCUGGAGGAAUACCGAUGGCGAAGGCAGCCAUCUGGCCUAAUACUGACGCUGAGGUACGAAAGCAUGGGGAGCAAACAGGAUUAGAUACCCCAGUAGUCCAUGUCUCUUAUAC